GUUCCUAUGCUUUCUCUCAUCGUUGGAUUUGAUCCAAAAUCAUCUACUGCGAUUUCAAAGUGUAUGAUCAUGGGAGCUUCGGUCUCUACUGUUUACUAUAAUCUAAAGCUCAGGCAUCCAACAAUUGAUAUGCCUAUUAUUGAUUAUGAUUUGGCUGUUCUCAUCCAGCCAAUGCUGAUGCUUGGCAUUAGUAUUGGAGUUACUUUUAAUGUGAUAUUUGCUGAU
rnacentral:misc_RNA from 1 species